rnacentral:rRNA from 1 species
UACGUAGGGAGCAAGCGUUGUUCGGAUUUACUGGGCGUAAAGAGCGCGCAGGCGGUCGGAUUAGUCGCGUGUGAAAGCCCCCGGCUCAACUGGGGAGGGUCACGCGAUACUGUUCGACUCGAAGGCAGGAGAGGGAAGUGGAAUUCCCGGUGUAGUGGUGAAAUGCGUAGAUAUCGGGAGGAACACCAGUGGCGAAGGCGACUUCCUGGCCUGUUCUUGACGCUGAGGCGCGAAAGCUAGGGUAGCAAACGGG